UAAUACAGAGGAGGCAAGCGUUGUUCGGAAUCACUGGGCUUAAAGCGCGUGUAGGCGGCCUGGUAAGUACCCUGUGAAAUCCCUCGGCUUAACCGUGGAAUCGCAGGGUAUACUGCCGGGCUUGAGGCGGAUAGAGGUGCCUGGAACUCUAGGUGGAGCGGUGAAAUGCGUAGAUAUCUAGAGGAACGCCCGUGGCGAAAGCGGGGCACUGGGUCCGAUCUGACGCUGAGACGCGAAAGCGUAGGGAGCAAACGGGAUUAGAUACCCCGGUAGUCUACGCCGUAAACGAUGCGCACUAGGCUUUUAUACUUCUGACAGUAUGAGAGCCGAAACAAAAGCGUUAAGUGCGCCGCCUGGGAAGUACGGCCGCAAGGCUA
rnacentral:rRNA from 1 species